UACUUAGUGGCGGACGGGUGAGUAACGCGUGGGCAACCUGCCCCGUGCCGGGGGAUACCGCCUGGAAACAGGCGCUAAUACCGCAUAAGCGCAUACAGCCGCAUGGCAGUAUGCGGAAAGCUCCGGCGGCACGGGAUGGGCCCGCGCCCGAUUAGCCAGUUGGCGGGGUAACGGCCCACCAAAGCGACGAUCGGUAGCCGGCCUGAGAGGGCGGACGGCCACAUUGGGACUGAGACACGGCCCAAACUCCUACGGGAGGCAGCAG
rnacentral:rRNA from 1 species